rnacentral:lncRNA from 1 species
GGGCGCUCAGCUACCAGGCUAGUUUGAGAGCGAGCUGCCAGUUUGAAGUCAUUGAAACUAUUCCAGCCCUGCGAGCCCGUCCACGCGUAGCCAGGCUUGCCGGGGCACCUCGCAGGGUGCAGGUAGUUAUCCUAACCGUGAGAUCGUGGUGCAAUGGAUCAAGUGUUUGUCCACAGAACUCUCUAUCUAUACCCCCCACUACAAGUCUGAACUCUUCGAGGCAAAAGUCUUUGUCUCUUCUUAUUUCAUUAAAGGCUGCAACGUCCAAGCAGGCUCAAAAGCAAAUUCAUGUGCCUGCCCUUUUUUUUUUUUUUUUUAAAAAAAAACGAGAGCGCUGUCAUUAGGCAUUGUACGCCCCAUCCGUGUGGACGCUGCAAAAAAAGAACUAGGGAACCAUUCAGUAUUUGGAAUACCCUGGUGUAGGAAUUAAGUCAUCGCCACCACCUGACGCGUGUAACCAAUCUGCUGAGAGGAGAACAAGCGCCCCUCCUCACCAUCCCCCAGAACUGGUCCGAAACAGGAUUGAACCGCUUCUAACAAAGGGUGGAAACUUAGAAAAACAAGCUUGGAGUCGCCUGUAUUUCCACAAUGUAGGCACUUAAACAACAGAUUGCAAAUCUCAGGACCCCUUCUCCCUUUGACAAUGCUUCAAUCUUCGUCUUAUACCCCAAACCCAAAUCCGAUGUGUCAUAUACUUUUCAAUUCCAUCUGUCUGCCAUGGGUUUCAUUGAAUCCACGUUCCAAAGUUAGACAUGAUGCUCCGAGAAGAAAAUCACUGACCCCGAAUGGCUUCUAAAACUGACUUAAUAGUUUGCAUAAUGAUAGACAUUAUUCUUUGAAAUAAACGAUGCUUGAUGUACAUUUUAAAGGGAAUUGGGAAAAAUAGGGGGAAAACACGUGGGGGUGUUGGUGCCAUAUGUCAAAAUAAGGGAUGGAAGCCCUUUAUCAAAGAACAAUAAUCAAGUCCUCAAAGUCGUUUGCACGUUAAUAUCAAAAUCAGAUACAUCUAGCAACCUUCUUAAAUGUCACUACAGUUCUUUAUUGGAGCUCAUUUCUGUAUCUAAGAUUGUAAAAUAAAGGAAAUCCAAUAUCGGACUGCAGCUUUUGCAAAUGAAUUUGAAAAUAUUAGUAAAACGACGGAGUCACAUUUAAACACGUUGUAAGGUGCGUAUGGCAGAUAUGAAGCCGGUUACAGAUGUAGUUAAGUGCAGUUUGCACUCACUUUGCAGACGCCUGCAUGGAUUAAGGCUUAACACGCUUGAACGUCAAGGAGAAACUACAGCUUCUAAGUUUGCUAACCUUUAACAAACUGCCGAUUAGAACUGCACUAAAUGAGAUUAAAGUUCUCAUGCAAAGAAGUCGAAUGUAGUGACUAAUUAAAAACUUACCUCUUUCGUGCCCAAUUAAGAUGUCUUUAUGGUUGAAAUAUUCUACUUCUUCAGUGUAAUUCUGUGUAUAGGCAGUAUUGGAGCCGGCGUUUCUUGAUUCCGUCCACCGUACUUUCGCAUGUCCUCUUGCGUGAAUUUUAAGAGAUUUUACUCUGAUCUCCCCGGUAACUUCUAAAUUUACCCUUCCUGAGACAGUGUCCCCGCUAGAAUACACGGGGACAUUACUGUCAUUAAGACAGUCAAAGCUUAUUGUCAAACUCUUUACCUUUCCCAGCACCAUGAUUAUAACAAAAUCUAUAAAAAUAUAAUGUAAGACCAAAAAAAAAGUCAAGAUCGCAUAUAAGAUGUGAUCUUCACUUAACACUGAUGGGUGUCUUUGCCGUGCAAGAAAAAAAAAUCAUGCAGGCAGGAUCAGUGAUUGUCUACAAAUAGUUCAUUGAGAUUUCUUA